UACGGAGGAUGCAAGCGUUAUCCGGAUUCAUUGGGUUUAAAGGGUGCGUAGGCGGGCUAUUAAGUCAGUGGUGAAAUCCUGCAGCUUAACUGCAGAACUGCCGUUGAUACUGAUAGUCUUGAGUUUGGUUAAGGUAGGCGGAAUGUGUAAUGUAGCGGUGAAAUGCUUAGAUAUUACACAGAAUACCAAUUGCGUAGGCAGCUUACUGAGCCGACACUGACGCUGAGGCACGAAAGCGUGGGAUCAAACAGGA
rnacentral:rRNA from 1 species